CUACGGGAGGCUCCAGUGGGGAAUAUUGGACAAUGGGGGAAACCCUGAUCCAGCAAUGCCGCGUGUGUGAAGAAGGCCUGCGGGUUGUAAAGCACUUUCGGUUGGGAGGACUGCUUCUAGCACUAAUAUUGUUGGAAGUUGACGUUACCUUCAGAAGAAGCACCGGCUAACUCCGUGCCAGCGGCCGCAGUAAUACGGAGGGUGCAAGCGUUAAUCGGAAUUACUGGGCGUAAAGCGCGCGUAGGCGGCUAGAUCAGUCGGGUGUGAAAGCCCCGGGCUUAACCUGGGAACUGCAUCCGAUACUGGCUAGCUUGAGUACAGGAGAGGAGAGUGGAAUUCCACAUGUAGCGGUGAAAUGCGUAGAUAUGUGGAGGAACACCAAUGGCGAAGGCAGCUCUCUGGCCUGAUACUGACGCUGAGGUGCGAAAGCGUGGGGAGCAAACAGGAUUAGAUACCCCGGUAGUC
rnacentral:rRNA from 1 species